rnacentral:lncRNA from 1 species
GAAAAAGUAUUAUCAGUGAAACUGGAAAAGUUAUCGAAACAGUCGCCUACAAUAAAAGAUGUCGAUGAAAAUGCUAAUGAACAGUAUUACAAGAAUUUAUCACUGUCAAAAGACAAAUUGCAGAAGCGAAAAAAUAAAUGCGCGCGGCAUAAGUAUGAGAGACCUAAAACACCAGAUGGAUUUUGGGAUCCACUAAUUCCUGAGACACAGUCGUCG